rnacentral:rRNA from 1 species
UCCCUACGGGAGGCAGCAGUGGGGAAUAUUGCACAAUGGGCGAAAGCCUGAUGCAGCGACGCCGCGUGAGGGAAGAAGGUUUUCGGAUUGUAAACCUCUGUCUUCGGGGACGAUAAUGACGGUACCCGAGGAGGAAGCCACGGCUAACUACGUGCCAGCAGCCGCGGUAAAACGUAGGUGGCAAGCGUUGUCCGGAAUUACUGGGUGUAAAGGGAGCGCAGGCGGACUGGUAAGUUGAAUGUGAAAACUAUGGGCUCAACCCAUAGAUUGCGUUCAAAACUACUGGUCUUGAGUGAUGUAGAGGUAGGCGGAAUUCCCGGUGUAGCGGUGGAAUGCGUAGAUAUCGGGAGGAACACCAGUGGCGAAGGCGGCCUACUGGGCAUUUACUGACGCUGAGGCUCGAAAGUAUGGGGAGCAAACAGGAUUAGAUACCCUGGUAGUCC